AAGUAGAACGGCCUGUCUCAAGAGGGGUUAGUUUCCCUCUCCUUGGAAAUUUUCUACAAGAAGCUGUGCAUUUGUCACAUCUGGAAAGUUACAGUGGGAAUUCCCUUUGUGAAUGUGUCAGUCUAAAUAGACGUGGAGAGAGAGAAACAUGUUGGGAAAUGAAGAUGAUGAUUUCUAAGAGUAUCAGCCAAGCAGUAAAAUAUACAAAGGAAAAGAAAAAUGGUGAAAUGAAAAGAAUUAAGAAAGGCCUCCAGUAAGACAGUUGGACCUUUUGUGGUGAACUUUUAGGAAGGCAUGAAUGAGAGAAGCACAAGAUGAAGAGGCAUGAAGAGGUUUUUAUCUGCAUUAUUGGAGUGAACCACUGAAUUGAAGAAAUUACAGAACCACUUGAGUAUUUGCAGAUUCAAAUUUCAUCUUAAUAUAUUUGGCCCCAUCCUUUGUUCUAUGAAGAUGUUUUGGGAUUCUGACUCUUCUCAAUAUGUUAGCUAUCCUUUACAAAUCAUGUCUUUUAGGAAUGGGCAAGCCAACCACCUAUCUUUUUGGCCACCUAUACCGUUGCUAAAACUGUUAGAUAACUUAGAGUUAACCACUGACAUUUCAUUGGAGACCCCCUUUCAAAUUCUUAUUCAAUUACUGAUGUCAUUUUUUAAAAUACAUCUGACUAUGAACCAGUACUAAAUCUAGUUACUAUGUCUUUCUAGCUGACAUCUUACUAACUUAUUCACAAUAAUAGCACGAGAGACUUUUCUUUCGAAUACUUUCCUAAAAUCAAAUUAAACUAUAUCACAUGAAAUCUGAUCUAAAGACCUCAGAAAUAAAGAAACUGAGUCUAAUCUGACAUAACUUGCUCUUGAAUAAACCAAGCCGGCUCUUAUGUGAUCAUUGAAUCACUUGGAGACAUCCAAUAACUAUCCCUUUAAUAAUACAUUCCAGAAUUUAGCCAUGAAUCAAAGUUACAUUGCUGGGAAUAAAAUUUGUAUAUUCCAUUAUUUUCCCUUUUUUAUUCCAACAUUAGCUCUUCUCUAAUGCUGGGGU